rfam:Rozella allomycis CSF55 unplaced genomic scaffold scaffold_4194, whole genome shotgun sequence.
CAAUCGGCUUCUUUAGAAGCCACCCCUUUAAAAGAUUCUCACACUCU